rnacentral:rRNA from 1 species
UAUUGGACAAUGGGCGAAAGCCUGAUCCAGUCAUGCCGCGUGUGUGAAGAAGGUCUUCGGAUUGUAAAGCACUUUAAGUUGGGAGGAAGGGCAUUAACCUAAUACGUUAGUGUUUUGACGUUACCGACAGAAUAAGCACCGGCUAACUCUGUGCCAGCAGCCGCGGUAAUACAGAGGGUGCAAGCGUUAAUCGGAAUUACUGGGCGAAAGCGCGCGUAGGUGGUUUGUUAAGUUGGAUGUAAAUCCCCGGGCUCAACCUGGAACUGCAUUCAAAACUACUACAGAGAUGGAGAGGGUGGUGAAUUUCCUGUGAGCGGUAAAUGCGAGAUAUGGAAGAACACCAGUGGCAAGCACCACCUGGCAAUCCAGACUGCGUGAGUUCG